GAUUUUGGUACCUAAAGCUGGCAGACGGGUGAGUAAUGCAUAGGAAUCUACCUAGUAGUAUAGGAUAGCCACUAGAAGUGGUGGGUAAUACUGUAUAAUCCCUGCGGGGGAAAGAUUUAUCGCUACAUGAUGAGCCUAUGUUAGAUUAGCUAGUUGGUGGGGUAAUGGCCUACCAAGGCAGUGAUCUAUAGCUGGUCUGAGAGGAUGAUCAGCCACACUGGAACUGAGACACGGUCCAGACUCCUACGGGAGGCAGCAGUGGGGAAUAUUGGACAAUGGGCGCAAGCCUGAUCCAGCUAUGCCGCGUGAGUGAGGAAGGCCUUAGGGUUGUAAAACUCUUUCAGUAGGGAAGAUAAUGACGGUACCUAUA
rnacentral:rRNA from 1 species